UUUCCCAUAGUGUAGUGGUUUAGCACCCCACACUUUGAAUGUGGUAACCUGAGUUCGACUCUCAGUGGGAGAA
rfam:Fistulifera solaris DNA, contig: scaffold00136, strain: JPCC DA0580.